rnacentral:rRNA from 1 species
CCUACGUGCGGCAGCAGUGAGGAAUAUUGGUCAAUGGGCGCGCGCCUGAACCAGCCAAGUAGCGUGAAGGAUGACUGCCCUACGGGUUGUAAACUUCUUUUAUAAAGGAAUAAAGUGAGGCACGUGUGCCUUUUUGUAUGUACUUUAUGAAUAAGGAUCGGCUAACUCCGUGCCAGCAGCCGCGGUAAUACGGAGGAUCCGAGCGUUAUCCGGAUUUAUUGGGUUUAAAGGGAGCGUAGAUGGGUUGUUAAGUCAGUUGUGAAAGUUUGCGGCUCAACCGUAAAAUUGCAAUUGAUACUGGCAGUCUUGAGUACAGUUGAGGUAGGCGGAAUUCGUGGUGUAGCGGUGAAAUGCUUAGAUAUCACGAAGAACUCCGAUUGCGAAGGCAGCUUACUAAACUGCCACUGACAUUGAUGCUCGAAAGUGUGGGUAUCAAACAGGAUUAGAUACCCCAGUAGUC